AUUGAACGCUGGCGGCAGGCUUAACGCAUGCAAGUCGAGCGGAGAGAGGUAGCUUGCUACUGAUCUUAGCGGCGGACGGGUGAGUAAUUCUUAUGAAUCUGCCUAUUAGUGGGGGACAACAUUUCGAAAGGAAUGCUAAUACCGCAUACGUCCUACGGGAGAAAGCAGGGGAUCUUCGGACCUUGCGCUAUUAGAUGAGCCUAAGUCGGAUUAGCUAGUUGGUGGGGUAAAGGCCGACCAAGGCGACGAUCUGUCGCGGGUCUGCGAGGAGGAUCCGCCACACAGGGACUGAGACACAGCCCAGACUCCUACGGGAGGCAGCAGUGGGGAAUAUUGGACAAUGGGCGCAAGCCUGAUCCAGCCAUGCCGCGUGUGUGAAGAAGGCCUUAUGGUUGUAAAGCACUUUAAGCGAGGAGGAGGCUACUUUAGAUAAUACCUAGAGAUAGUGGACGUUACUCGCAGAAUAAGCACCGGCUAACUCUGUGCCAGCCGCCGCGGUAA
rnacentral:rRNA from 1 species